rnacentral:rRNA from 1 species
UCGGGAAUUUUGUGCAAUGGGCGAAAGCCUGACACAGCAACGCCGCGUGAAGGAUGAAGUCCCUCGGGAUGUAAACUUCGUAAGAAUAGGAAGAAUAAAUGACGGUACUAUUUGUAAGGUCCGGCUAACUACGUGCCAGCAGCCGCGGUAAUACGUAGGGACCAAGCGUUGUUCGGAUUUACUGGGCGUAAAGGGUGCGUAGGCGGCAUAUCAAGUCACUUGUGAAAUCUCCGGGCUUAACUCGGAACUGCCAAGUGAUACUGAUGUGCUAGAGUGCAGAAAGGGCAACUGGAAUUCUUGGUGUAGCGGUGAAAUGCGUAGAUAUCAAGAGGAACACCUGAGGCGAAGGCGAGUUGCUAGGCUGACACUGACGCUGAGGUACGAAAGCUUAGGGGAGCGAACGGGAUUAGAUACCCGGGUAGUCCCUGAGCGGGCUGGCAAGGCGCAU